AUUGAACGCUGGCGGCAGGCCUAACACAUGCAAGUCGAGCGGAUGAAGGGAGCUUGCUCCUGGAUUCAGCGGAGGACGGGUGAGUAAUGCCUAGGAAUCUGCCUGGUAGUGGGGGAUAACGUCCGGAAACGGGCGCUAAUACCGCAUACGUCCUGAGGGAGAAAGUGGGGGAUCUUCGGACCUCACGCUAUCAGAUGAGCCUAGGCCGGAUUAGCUAGUUGGUGGGGUAAAGGCCUACCAAGGCGACGAUCCGUAACUGGUCUGAGAGGAUGAUCAGUCACACUGGAACUGAGACACGGUCCAGACUCCUACGGGAGGCAGCAGUGGGGAAUAUUGGACAAUGGGCGAAAGCCUGAUCCAGCCAUGCCGCGUGUGUGAAGAAGGUCUUCGGAUUGUAAAGCACUUUAAGUUGGGAGGAAGGGCAGUAAGUUAAUACCUUGCUGUUUUGACGUUACCAACAGAAUAAGCACCGGCUAACUUCGUG
rnacentral:rRNA from 1 species